rnacentral:tRNA from 1 species
UCCCUGGUGGACUAGUUGCUAGCAUGUAGUGCUCUCAUCACCACAGUCUGGGUUCGAUUCUCGGUCAGGGAU